rnacentral:lncRNA from 1 species
GAAGCACGAGAUCUGCUACCAGUGGGCUCGCGGGGUGGCGAGAUGAGCCGGAGGCUGUGGAGUCCACGACGCGCGCUCUACGUCAAACACCUGCAGAAGAGGAGGGGAAUCGACGACUCACGUGGGAGUAGGCGAUUCGGGCUCCUUGGUUGCUCUAGUGUGGAGUGUUGUGCCAAGAGGGUAUGUUGUGAAUGGAGGACGCCCCUAGGACCCCUUUUAUAGGGUCCUAGAGGCGUUUCCAUUCAAUGGAGUGGGGCCCACCUCAUUAUGGUGCCCUAUUGAAGGGUGCCAUAAUGGGGUGGGCC